GGGAAGCUAACUUGUCUAAACAGCCGGCGAGGAAGAAAGGGAGAGAGCAAACGGAGAAGAGAAUGAAGUUUGCUGUAAAGGCAUGGAGCAACGGCGGCAAAGCUCGAUCUGGGGUUCUUCAGCUAGGAAGCUGUCCACACAAUAUUGAGACACCUGCUCUUCUCCUCACAACUCGUAAAGGCUUGCCCGUUUACAUCCCUCCUGAUCAUCUCCCUUCUCUCCCUUCCCCGGAUUCUAACCUACUCCACUUCAGUCCUCUUCACUUCUUGGAAGGCAUUUCCCUGAAAGCAAUCUCAAACAUUGGAGGGCUGCACCCAUUGCUAGGGUUACAUGAUCAUAUAAUGGUAGCUGUGCCAAGGGAUUCUAUUAUAUCUAUUCCAGAUCAUGAUAGUACUAACAGGAUCGGAGCUUCCUUUGAAACUCCUUGUGG
rnacentral:misc_RNA from 1 species